GGGCCUGUAGUUUAAUGGUAAAACGGCGCAUUCGCAUUGCGCAAAUGGCAGUUCGAUUCUGCCUGGGUCCACCA
rnacentral:tRNA from 4 species